GUGAAGAAGAAGAGGAAGAAGAAGAAAGAAAUCAAGAACAAGAGAAAUGAUGGGCUUGUAGGUGUGAAGGCUCAGAGAGGGAGUCUACAAUUGCAUCUACAGAAUCCUAUGAAGAAGCAGAGAUCGCCGGAGGAGCAAUCAUCGACGGCGGCACACCCGAAGAGGAUGAUUGCAAAUGGGUGCUCGAAGGAAAAACUUAGAAGGAUUAAAUCGGAGGAGAUCCCUAAGACUGGUGGGAGUGGGAUCAUCAAACAGGUCUUCAGAGGUAAGGUUCGACGGUAUAAGCUCUUGGAUGAAGUCUCUAGCUAGUUUUUUUGAUGAAGUACUUGAUUAGCAUAAAAGCCAACCCUUAGCAGAGAUUAAGAAUUUGUUCUUAAAUGUAAUGAAAUU